GAGAGAGAAUGGAGAGAGGGAGAGGAGAGAGAAUGGAGAGAGGGAGGCAGAGAGAGAAUGGAGAGAGGAAGGCAGGGAGAGAAAGAGAGGGGGGCAGAGAGAGAGAAAGAGAGGGAGAGGAGAGAGAAUGGAGAGAGGGAGAGGAGAGAAAAUGGAGAGAGGGAGGCAGAGAGACAAUGGAGAGAGGCAGGCAGAGAGAGAAAGAGAGGGAGGCAGAGAGAGAAGAGAGGGAGGCAGAGAGACAAUGGAGAGAGGGAGAGGAGAGAGAAUGGAGAGAGACAGGCAGAGUGAGAAAGAGAGGGAGAGGAGAGAGAAUGGAGAGAGGGAGGCAGAGAGAGAAAGAGAGGGAGAGGAGAGAGAAUGGAGAGAGACAGG
ensembl:lncRNA